UCGUCUCCAUAGAGGAGGAGAACGGUGGGUUCUCAAGCUCUUCCUCCCUCUCGAUUUCUCAUGGUAUCGUCAUUCUAAUCGCGUAAACUCUAAUAAAUCAAAAAAAUUAGGCCUCUUGAAGUUGGAAUGAUUAAACCAUUUAAAUUUCGAUAUGUUGGUGUUUACGCGACCGUGGGCCUUCGUUCACCAUGGUUUGAUGUUUGAAUUAGAAGUGGGAUCACAUGGUUAUUGAUGUGGAUAAAUAUUGAACGUGUGGGUGGCUGAAUUGGUGAAUUUUGAGGUGAAAUAGUUGGUUUUGGAUUGAAUUGGUUACAUUAUUUGAUGAGUUUUUGAACGCUAGAUCAAAUCGAAAUUGAAACGAAUUGUGAGUUUCCUUUAUAAAUGAAAUUCUGACUUCAUAAGA